UACGUAGGGUGCGAGCGUUAAUCGGAAUUACUGGGCGUAAAGCGUGCGCAGGCGGUUUUGUAAGACGGAUGUGAAAUCCCCGGGCUUAACCUGGGAACUGCAUUUGUGACUGCAAGGCUAGAGUACGGCAGAGGGGGGUAGAAUUCCACGUGUAGCAGUGAAAUGCGUAGAUAUGUGGAGGAAUACCGAUGGCGAAGGCAGCCCCCUGGGUCGAUACUGACGCUCAUGCACGAAAGCGUGGGGAGCAAACAGG
rnacentral:rRNA from 1 species